CCAAAGAGUGAGAGAUCACUCUCAACCCGCUCGGUGUCCAGAUCCCUGGGCUCCGAACCGGUCAACCCUUUGUGAACCAAAAAAUCUUUCGCUUCGGCAGCCGGGCUUGACCGCCUGUCAGCCUGCCGCUAGCACCAACCUUUCAAAACCUGUUGUUGAACAUUGUCUGAUGACCAAAAUUUUCGAAUGAAAAUCA
rnacentral:misc_RNA from 1 species